rnacentral:rRNA from 1 species
GUGUCAGCAGCCGCGGUAAUACGAAGGAUCCAAGCGUUAUCCGGAUUUAUUGGGUUUAAAGGGUGCGUAGGCGGGCUAUUAAGUCAGUGGUGAAAGCCCCAAGCUUAACUUGGGAAUUGCCAUUGAUACUGAUGGUCUUGAGUACACUUGAAGUGGGCGGAAUGUGUCAUGUAGCGGUGAAAUGCUUAGAUAUGACACAGAACACCGAUUGCGAAGGCAGCUCACUAAAUUGUAACUGACGCUGAGGCACGAAAGCGUGGGGAUCAAACAGGAUUAGAAACCCCGGUAGUCC